rnacentral:rRNA from 1 species
UACAGAGGGGGCAAGCGUUGUUCGGAUUUACUGGGCGUAAAGGGCGCGUAGGCGGUCGUGACAAGUCACUUGUGAAAUCUCCGGGCUUAACUCGGAACGGUCAAGUGAUACUGUCGGACUAGAGUACAGAAGGGGCAACUGGAAUUCUCGGUGUAGCGGUGAAAUGCGUAGAUAUCGAGAGGAACACCUGCGGCGAAGGCGGGUUGCUGGGCUGAUACUGACGCUGAUGCGCGAAAGCCAGGGGAGCGAACGGG